rnacentral:rRNA from 1 species
AUACGGAGGGUGCAAGCGUUACUCGGAAUCACUGGGCGUAAAGCGCGCGCAGGCGGUCUUUUAAGUUGGAUGUGAAAGCCUACGGCUCAACCGUAGAACUGCAUCCAAAACUAUUAGACUAGAGUGUGGGAGAGGAAGAUGGAAUUAGUUGUGUAGGGGUAAAAUCCGUAGAGAUAACUAGGAAUACCAAAAGCGAAGGCAAUCUUCUGGAACACUACUAACGCUGAGGCGCGAAAGCGUGGGGAGCAAACGGGAUUAGAAACCCUAGUAGUCC